AUAAAAAGCGCCAGGACUAUUUCGGACGGAAAAGGGAAAUAGUUGACGAGGUGGAGGUUAUCGAGGAUUUCGGCGGAUGCCUCCCGGCUGGAUAUCUCAGUCGUAGCUUUAUUCCUUAAAACAAUAAGGUGACUUGUUGGACAAAAGGAUAAAGAA
rnacentral:ncRNA from 1 species